CUAAGUUUGAUGGCGACCGGCGCACGGGUGAGUAACACGUAUCCAACCUGCCGAUGACUCGGGGAUAGCCUUUCGAAAGAAAGAUUAAUACCCGAUGGCAUAGUUCUUCCGCAUGGUAGAACUAUUAAAGAAUUUCGGUCAUCGAUGGGGAUGCGUUCCAUUAGGUUGUUGGCGGGGUAACGGCCCACCAAGCCUUCGAUGGAUAGGGGUUCUGAGAGGAAGGUCCCCCACAUUGGAACUGGGACACGGUCCAA
rnacentral:rRNA from 1 species